AUUGAACGCUGGCGGCAUGCCUUACACAUGCAAGUCGAACGGCAGCAUGAUCUAGCUUGCUAGAUUGAUGGCGAGUGGCGAACGGGUGAGUAAUACAUCGGAACGUGCCCUGUAGUGGGGGAUAACUAGUCGAAAGAUUAUCUAAUACCGCAUACGACCUGAGGGUGAAAGUGGGGGACCGCAAGGCCUCAUGCUAUAGGAGCGGCCGAUGUCUGAUUAGCUAGUUGGUGUGGUAAAGGCUCACCAAGGCGACGAUCAGUAGCUGGUCUGAGAGGACGAUCAGCCACACUGGGACUGAGACACGGCCCAGACUCCUACGGGAGGCAGCAGUGGGGAAUUUUGGACAAUGGGCGAAAGCCUGAUCCAGCAAUGCCGCGUGUGUGAAGAAGGCCUUCGGGUUGUAAAGCACUUUUGUCCGGAAAGAAAUGGCUCUGGUUAAUACCUGGGGUCGAUGACGGUACCGGAAGAAUAAGGACCGGCUAACUACGUG
rnacentral:rRNA from 1 species